rnacentral:rRNA from 1 species
AUUGAACGCUGGCGGCAGGCCUAACACAUGCAAGUCGAGCGGAUGAAGGGAGCUUGCUCCUGGAUUCAGCGGCGGACGGGUGAGUAAUGCCUAGGAAUCUGCCUGGUAGUGGGGGAUAACGUCCGGAGACGGGCGCUAAUACCGCAUACGUCCUGAGGGAGAAAGUGGGGGAUCUUCGGACCUCACGCUAUCAGAUGAGCCUAGGUCGGAUUAGCUAGUUGGUGGGGUAAAGGCCUACCAAGGCGACGAUCCGUAACUGGUCUGAGAGGAUGAUCAGUCACACUGGAACUGAGACACGGUCCAGACUCCUACGGGAGGCAGCAGUGGGGAAUACUGGACAAAGGGCGAAAGCCUGAUCCAGCCAUGCCGCGUGUGUGAAGAAGGUCUUCGGAUUGUAAAGCACUUUAAGUUGGGAGGAAGGGCAGUAAGUUAAUACCUUGCUGUUUUGACGUUACCAACAGAAUAAGCACCGGCUAACUUCGUG